UUUCUCUUUUUUAUUAUAUUUUAUUAUACUCACACAUAAACUACUUAUUUUUAUAUUAAUUGUUAUUCAUUUUCUUUAUCAAUUAUCAUUGUGAGUUGUGACUGCCUGCGGUGGUGAAGCAAUUGAUUGAAGAUGUGAGAAGUGUUCUGGCUCUUCAUGUGGGCAACGACUGGCCUUUUAUUGCAGAGUGUUUGUAGAUCAACAUAACAAUCGACAUUGUUUAGUUCAAACAAAGGGCUUGGAUUGAAUCAGUUCAUUCUCAAUCAAGCCCAUUUUGGACUUCCCUUAUAACACCUCAAGCCUCCCGCCCGCCCGCAAGCCAGUAACAAACGCAAACAGAAACAGAGACCGGCGAGCAAGUCUUGCAAGCAUUAACUGCCUGAGUCUAACAAAUGGAGUGAUCAUAUAUUUAUGCUCCGUUUAUGUGCUUUAAAAGUUCAACCAAGCAUAGAAUGCGAUCAACCAGAAUUAUAACUUCAAACUUCAGGAAAUUUUCAUUUCUGGCUCCUACCCGUUUCAAUAAAUCACACAAAAGCCAAAGUCACUUCAACCGUUGAAACCACUGUGAAAAUGCCUUUUCAUUCCAAGUUUUCCGUUGGUUUCUCUUCUUUCUCGUCCUCAGAUCUCGAAAUUCCAUUUGCUGGAAAAUCUCUCUGUAACGAAGGAGAAUGUUCUAGUGAUGGUGAUUAUGAUGAUGGUAGCAUUACAAAAUUAGAUUUAAGAGAUGAUAGUUUUGUUGAAGACGUAACGACCAUUGUGAAUAUAUUGAAUCAAUUGGGUGACAAUCGUUCGGAAAUGAGAAACAAGAUUGAGCAAUGUGGCGUCAAGGUUUCACGGGAGUUGGUCAUGGAGGUAAUGUAUAGAGUAAGAAAUGAGUGGGAGGCGGCAUUUACUUUCUUUCUGUGGGCUAGGUUAUGCCCAUUCUGUGCGUGAAUAUCAUGCUAUGAUUUCUAUUCUUGGUAAAAUGAGAAAGUUUGAUACAGCCUGCGCAUUGAUCGAUGAGAUGAGAACGGGUACACCGCUGUUUCUCUUGCUGUACUGUAGACUUUGCUCAUCAUGAUUAGGAGAUAUUGUGCAGUGCAUGAUGUUGGCCAGGUUAUAAAUACUUUUUAUGCGUAUAAGCGGUUUAAAUUUGAUGUGGGGAUUGACGAGUUUCAAAGUCUUCUGCCCUGAGCCACUACCAGAAUGUGCAAGAUCCUGAGCACUUGAUGUUUUCCCAGAAAGAUGUCUUCCCAUUUAACACAGAUGUUUAAUAAAUUGUGCUUAAUGGGUGUUGUAAUCGGAUUCGUUGUCCUUGUCAGGCUAAAGCAAUGUUUGCGAAUCCUUCACAUAUUUAUGCUUGUGGGAAGUAUAAUUAUGACAGCAAUGCUCAUAUUAAUAAUAUUUCUGUGAUACUGUUUCUCUUUUGGUUUAUCUCAUCCUUGAGCUGUGCUAUCACUUAACAACCACUUGAAAGAUAUGAUUAUUUUGAAAACCAAACUAGUGCCAAGGAACUCCUUUUUGGUAAAAGAAAGUUGUGGUUAACUUGUGGAAGAACUCAGAUAUUUGAUGUUUGCUUGGGCUAAUUUGCGUUGCAGUUAAAGUGGUAGGCCAAUUUGCGUUUUCCUUGUUUAUUAAUCUUGGAAUUCAUUUUUCAUAUGUUAAGAUGUUUAAGAAUUAUUAGCAAACGGUGUUUUACAAUUGACCAAAGGUAAGCGCUGUAUUUUCCAGUGAUACAUAGAUGGGUGAUAGACUAGAUGAUUCAACUAGCAGUUGUGCCUAGCUUUAUGUAACUUCCCAAAAACACAGUUUAGAGUCAUGUGCGUACUCUUUUGGAUGAUGUUUAUUUAAAGGCUUUUUCAUAUUAUGGUUUACCUUCAACAUGCCCCAUGUUGAUGUUUUAGGUUAAACAUUUCUAAUCACAUUAGUUGCAUGUAAUUUUAUGAGAAAAUGAACAAAUGUUUUUUCAGUUUGAUAGGGAAACAUUGGUAAAAUGGAAGUUUCCAACACAGUAUGUCAAGCCAAAUGAACAAAACUGAGAUGUCUUUACCUGGCUUUGAGAAUGAAUCCUCUGAUGGGAAUAACAGUAUGAGUAAUGUUAAGAUCCACGCCUGAAUUUUGUGAAAAGCAUCACUUGAGUCUGUCUCGGGGGAAUUCCCAGAUUGAUAGAUCACAGUUUUUCUUCAGCGCUUCAACUAGUUAUUGUCAUGAACUAUGGAUCUAUUUACCUCAUUAUUGUUCAUGACAUCUCCCUCGGACAUAGUAGGGUACUGAAAUGGUGAAAAAUUUAGAUUUCCUUUGAUGAAAUACCCCAUACUUGUUAGGGAGGAAGGGAAAAUUAGUAUAUUGGACGUUUAUCUUUCAUUUUAUUCCUUCCUUCUAGUGAAGGGAGACUAUACUCAGGCUUCUAUGAGAACCAAGUUUAUAGGUGACAGCCACUACUUGGUUCAUGUUUAUGUUACGUUAUGAGACUUUCUGAAGUCUAAAAAGGGAUAGGUUGAUACUGCGGGCGUUGGUGCACCUCUAGAUGGAGAGUAUUCAGGCAUUUGCAUGCGGAACUAAGAUGUGGCACAAUUUACUUGAGGUUGAGUUGAUAAUUUUGUAUGCUUCCGUGAGCUCAUUUGGCCUUUUGAAUUGUGCUAGACAAACUGAAACAUGUGUUGACAGAGUGCUUAUGGGUUGAUGAAAAAUGAAGUCAUGUAGCUGCCCUGCCCAUAACAUUUUUCUUCCUUUUGAUAAAUGCACAAUUUUCAACACAAACAGUGUAUUUUUCUACCAUGUUUUACUUUUGUUAUAAUACUCUUGUAUGUUAAUAAUGCAGGCAGGGACCAGCAAAAGAGUCAAAUUAAUGAAAGUUUAGAUCUGGAUUCUCAUUUUAAAGGUUUUCACAUAGAGAACUCCUCACUUCAUGGUUAUCAAAAAAAAAAAAAAAAGAACUCUUUCAUGCUUAGCCCCAAGGUGUCAUUUUUAACUUUAGCUUAGUGUUGUGUGUCUAAAAGAGAGUAAUCCAUAAACUGUAGACUCUAGAGUUCCAUGUUAGGCCUAACUCACUAUGUAGUGUCUGGCAUGAGAAAUCUAGUGCAUUGCCUUUUGACAUGAGAGGCUACCUACUUAUUAGAUUAGGUGAGCUACACGUGGAAAACAACAGGUGAUCACAAUCAAGACAUUUUCAUUGUUGAAAAUCUGCCAGCUGUUGCAUGUCCAUACAUGCUUACCAUACCUCUUGACUAGUCUAACUCAUUUAUAUUUCUUUCAUGAUCAUGUAUUCAGUCAAACCCUUCUAACAGCCUGAUGUAACAUUAAUGGGGUAAUCACAUGCUUGGUCAGGGUAUGAGUCCAAGCUGCAGCGCACUAGGUUUGGAUGAAAAGAAGGCAGAAUCAAAUUCCAUGCAAUAUUAUUUGAUUAAUAUUACAGUGUGUGACCUAGACAGAACUAAGCCAUAGAAAAGGAAAUAUUAACGAGGAUAAGGAUCAUGUAAAUGGCCGAGCUGGUUACUGAUGGAGCUUCAUUUUCAUAUCUACCUUUGUAGGUGGUCAUUAAUUCAUUUUCUGCAGGUAGAUUGAAAGUCAAGGGUAUCACAACUGAGUGGAGAGAUGCUUUUGACCAUUGAGCAGAUUUAGCAUGUGGGUACUUGAAUUUCAGCCAAACAAGUUACCUAGUACAUGGGAAAGGAGAGAAGAACCUAUGGAAAUCCCAGGUACUUAUGAUUUGCAUCACACAUGACAUAAUAUUCAAAGCAUUAAAAAAAAAAAUCGUAUUCCUUGCAUGAUAAAAAAAAUAUGUAUAUAAAGUGCAGCCUACCAGCCAAACAAAAGCAUCUCUAAAGGAUAAAUACCAAGUCUAAGGACUUGUGGAUAAUCAUAAAACUUUUUGUUUAUAGUGUUAGCAUAUCAUAUGCUUCCAAAAUUUAUCUGAUACCUCUACACCGUGUUUGUCUUAUUAUCCAUUUGUCCAAUUUUUGCACCUCUUUUCUGUUCAACAACGUCCAUGGCUUUAUUAUAUGGUGCAAGUCUUCCCAUAUUUUGGAACUCCAGCUUUCUUUAAUUAGUCAGUUUUUCUGACGAUUGCCGUGCUCUGUUUGAUUGCCAAGAAGUUUCACAUCAUAGAGGAGAAGUUAAAAGUGACAAUCCCAUUGUUGUUUGGCAAUCCAUUUAGCUUUCUGUAAACAUUUAAUGCACUAUUCCACGAAUUAUACUUUUGAACCAUAAAUGAAAUGCGAUAAACAGAUUUAAAAAAUAAGGAUUUUGGGUCACUUUGUGUGUUUUGUAUUUUAUGCACUUUUAGUUGCUAGAAGCGAAAAGGAUUUAUAUGAUUAACCUCAACUAAUUUAAAAUUAAGAUUUAGCAGUUAUCAUUGUUUGAGAUUGCUUAGCCAAAUCUGUUGUCAUGCUUAGAAAAUGUAAGUAGCACACUUGUUCGGGGUGAAGGAGUCAUUAAGUAGGCUAGUUUUGCGGUUAUGACUUUGAAUUUUAUGGCUUUGGGAGAGGGAGAUUCUUCAUUCUUGUUUGGUAAUCAAUUUACUAUGACUAGAUCAAUUAAAACUCACACCACGUCAUCAAUUUGCAUCACACGUGUGUUUCAAAUCUGUUCGAGGAUUGACUAUUUAAAGCUUUUUUUUUCUAAUUAUUAGUAAUAUUCUUCUAAUUUCCUUGGCCA